CAGCUCAACGCCAAGCUGCAGCAGGUGGUGGAGGAGAAAGGGGGGGUGUCGGCCCAGCUGAGGGCAGUGUCUCAGACGCUGAGAGACACCCAGAACCGCUGCUAUUGGCUGGAGAACCAGGCCCUGCCUAACCAGCACCACCAGGGCCUUGCAAAGCAGGGGGCGCUGUCUGUAGAAGUGGCUCGGG